rnacentral:lncRNA from 1 species
AAAAAUCUCAAGCAAAGAAAACCCUAAAAUCCCAAGACUGAUUACCUGGAGGCCAGCGUUUGCACGUCCUACACCGCCACCACCGCGACACUUUGUAAGAGCUUCUUUUCUCCUUCUUUUUAUCCUUCUCAUGUGCUUGUUGAUGAAACAUUGUGAGAGUUGAGAGAGAUUGAGUCGCUGAGUUUUGAGAGCGUGAGAGGGUUUCGUUGAUGAGCGAUGUCAUAAGAGGGACGAGAGGGGCGAGUGCGUGAGAUUGCCAUUGUUGGGAAAGGGUGAGUUCGUGAGGUUGGGGAGAGGUGGAAGGAAGACGAGUUCCUGCUUCGUCGUCUCCAUUUCGUUCUUUUCUUUUUUUUUAAUUUUUCUAAUUUAAUUUGUUUUUUUUAACAGAGAUAAAAAACAUAAAAAUGUUUAUAUGUUAGUAUUUUCUUUUAUUGUUCUUAAUCUUUUUUUAUUUAUUUUUUAUCUCGGUUUAUAUAUUUAACAUAGUAUCAUAGUAGCAGAUGAUCAUAAGUGGUCUGGUGGAGAAGGGUAGUGUGUAUAUUCUUGAGUGGGGUGGGUUCAAUACUCAUGUGUGGCAUUUUUUGGCAUUUUAUUUCUUGUAGCUAUAUUAUUUUUUCUUUUAGCAUUUUCGUUUCUUUUUAUGUUUAUGCCUUUAUUACACUCAUAUGUUCAUUUUGUUAAUAAUGUAAAGUUGUUGUAUUUUAAUUUAAUUCAAAACCAUUUUAAAACUAUAAAAAUCAUAUUUUUCUCGAUUUAAUAUCGAGCCCAUUUUUUACACCCUUGUAAGUCGAUUGCUUUUUAAGCAUCGCCAUCGACCUCACAUAGCUUACUCUUGGGCUUUCUUACAAUGAGCCGGUUCCUUUGCACUUACACUCAUACAUUGUUUAAUGCUUCAUUAUUUCAUUCUUUGAUUAUUUGAUUCGAUUAUAUACUUGUUUAUAUCUUACUUGUUUGAUUAACUGUGGCCUUUGUAUGGUGUUUGAGGCAUGUAUUAUUAUUGUUUGUUUGCCAUGAACAAUCCCCAUUCAUAACAAAUGUAUCCCUCUCCCAUGAAAUGUAUAAUAUUCUUUCAUUCUUUAUCCAUCUGUUAAUACAAGAAAUAAAAUGAACAUCCGAUAAUCAUUUCAAAACAAGACCAAAACCUCGAUCCAACGUCGAGUAAUCACUUUUCUCAAAACCUAACAGAACCAGCACGUAUUCAUCCACCCUUUUGUAAGUCGAUUGCUUUAUGCAUCGCCAUCAACCUUGUAAGUCGAUUGCUU